GCGACAGUAGCUCAGUAGGAAGAGUAGUUGUCUUGCAAUCAGAAGGUUGUGGGUUUGAUUCCAGCCUCCUGUCAUA